rnacentral:rRNA from 1 species
GACGAACGCUGGCGGCGUGCCUAAUACAUGCAAGUUGAGCGCUGAAGGUUGGUACUUGUACCGACUGGAUGAGCAGCGAACGGGUGAGUAACGCGUGGGGCAUCUGCCUUUGAGCGGGGGACAACAUUUGGAAACGAAUGCUAAUACCGCAUAAAAACUUUAAACACAAGUUUUAAGUUUGAAAGAUGCAAUUGCAUCACUCAAAGAUGAUCCCGCGUUGUAUUAGCUAGUUGGUGAGGUAAAGGCUCACCAAGGCGAUGAUACAUAGCCGACCUGAGAGGGUGGUCGGCCACACUGGGACUGAGACACGGCCCAAACUCCUACGGGAGGCAGCAGUAGGGAAUCUUCGGCAAUGGACGAAAGUCUGACCGAGCAACGCCGCGUGAGUGAAGAAGGUUGUCGGAUCGUAAAACUCUGUUGUUAGGGAAGAACGUUGGUGAGAGUGGAAAGCUCAUCAAGUGACGGUAACUACCCAGAAAGCGACGGCUAACUACGUG